rnacentral:lncRNA from 1 species
AUACACACAUGUUUUCUUUCUUUCUUUUUUUCCUUUUAGGACUGCACCUGUGACAUAGGGAAGUUCCCAGGCUAGGGAUCAAAUUGAAGCUGCGGCUGCCAGCAUACGCCACAGCCACAGCAACGCCAGAUUGACCUACACCGUAGUUCACAGCAAUGUUGGAUCCUUAACCCACUGACGGAGCCCAGGGAUCAAACCCACAUCCUCAUGGAUACUAGUUGGGUUCUUAACCUGCUGAGCCACAAAGGGAACGCCAAGCCCAGUUUUCUUAAAGUAAAACUACCUCAGUUCAUAAGGUAACACAUUUGAUCUCCAGUAGACUCAUGGAUAAAAUGCCUUAUAUUGAUAUAGUGCUUUAUACUUACAAAAUAUUUUCUCAUGUCCUUUCAUCUUGACCUCUUUUGUAGAAAUGAGGGUUAAAGAUGCAGCAGAUUUUUUACUUGCCCUGGAAUCUCAGGGAGGUUACAAUGGCUGGUCCAAAUUCCACAUUGAGUAAAUUAUGGUAUCAGGAAUUAAACAAAGACUUCUCAGACCAUGUUGUGACUGAUUGAUACCCUUAUGCAUUAAAUCAUCAGAAGGAAAGACUGUCUUUUAUAUGUGGGCAAACGCAGGUCUUUUCAGUUGUAUAUGCUCCCACCUUCUCAAGGAUGGUGCUCUUGCUUUAUUUUAUCUAAAAAACCAAACCCCCUCCGUCUUCAACAGUCCAGCUCUCAUCAUCCCCAUUUCUGUUUCACAGGACUGACUUUGCUAUUUAGGGAAUCAUCAGAGUAUUAUUCCAAAGGGAGGAAAAUCAGAUAAAACCCAGCAUUCCUGGCUACAGCCUGUAUGAUUAUGAACACAGUACUGUACUUACAGUAGAGUAGGAUGCCAGGGUGAAUAGACACCGCUGCCUUUGAAAGGAUGAACGUUCGUUCUGACCUAAUAACUAUCUAACGCUGGGUACAAUUAUCUUUUCGCAAGUGGCACAUUAUUAUUUGACACAUUAAUUGUUGUGUCAUUUCUUUCUGAAAGGCAUGUUGCGAGCCUAAUACAAACCAGAGGCUUCAUGAAUUAUCCAUGUCAUACGCUGCUGCACUGAUUUACCUUUUGCAAAAUAAAAUCAACCCAAUCGCACCGCCUGUGUUCAAUUACCACAGGCCGAUCUGUGCCACCCUGUGACCCCAAGAGCUUUCUUCCUGGGUCUUGGCAUUUCUGAUCAACAUUAGCAAUGGUCUGCUUACUCACUACAGCUAUGAAAGUGUUCUUCCUCGUAGGUAAACUAGAGAUGUGUCUUUGAUAACAGGAACAUUCUUUAGGAUGUAGUUUUUGACUUGAGAUCCCCUUUUUCUGUGUCCAUUCGACCUUGGUCCCUUUUUCAUUCUUUCCCAGGAAGGGCUCUCUGGACAGAGAACUGUUUCCCGGGCAAAAAGACCCCAGUAAGCCCCAAACAUUCAAAUCUGGAUGACCUUCCAUUGCCACAGCUGCCACUUGGCAGCCUUCGAAGCUGAUGGGCUGGCGGCCCUGGGUUUGCCUCUGGGCCUGUCAUCUGUCGUGUUGUUAGACUGCUGAUGGGCUGUCGCUGCCUGCCCCUGAAGCUGGCACUUCCCUCUUCCAACUUGGGCUGCCACUGGAUGAUAAAAUCAAGCAGCCUCACAGCCGCCCUUCAUCCUCCUCCAGAUCCCAGUGGUUGAAUCAGUCUCCAAGCAGAAGCAGAAAAACUGAACCUUUCCAUUGUCUUACCAAACACAUUGGGUGUGCAUAUUCCACCGCAAAUUACCAUUAAAAAAAAAAAAAUCAGAAUUAGAAUGCAUUUGCUGUUCUAUACUUUGCUGCUAGUUAAUGCCAUGCCACCCUGAAGACUCAUCUCCCCUUUUGGUUUUAAUUGGGUUCUUUUCUGUUGCUUUCAUAUCAAUUUGCACCUGACUGACAUAUUCUGCAGCUGAUUACCAAGUGAGUUGUUCUGUGAGCUAGAGGUAUGAUAAAUUAAACAUGCUAUGUAUCACCGAAUCCAUCUUUGGCUGCUUCAUGGUACAUUAUAAUUUGGGAAGGCACUAUUAAAAUAAAAUAUUAAAGAAUAAGCAGAAACAGCCCACCGUUAACAUGUCCAAUGGCAAGAGAAAAUUACAGGUUUCAUUGUAUAUGCGGCACCAUCUGCCUCUUUACCGAGGCUGAGCCUUCGGCUCCCCCAGGGGAAAUCGCUGUGGAUAAGUUAUUCAAUUAGAACAGCAUUAUUGGCCAGCUACCUUGGAGAAUUGGGUUGAUGAUGUUGUGAUUAUCCCGCUCUACAUUCCUUCAUGUCUCUGGCAGGCUGCAGUGCAUGGCAACUUCCUUAAGUGUUUACCAAGCCCUACAGUAGAGGUGAACAAUUGGAAUGAAGAAUAUCAAGGAUUCCUGAAAGAAAAUCAAUUUUGAAUGAACUUUUCUUGCUUAGCCGCAGCUUCAGUAUUCUGAGUCAUACUGUAUUUUUGUGGACUUUCAUGUUAAGUGAUAGAAAUGGCAGUAGAGAGGAAAGUGAAUUGCAUGAUAUGCAUUUAACCUGUGGCACGGCACCAAAUCCUUCUUCACGUGAGAUUACAAGGCAGAGAAAUACUCAGGCCUCCUCCAAGAGGUUAUUCAUUCUAGGGAAGGGAAAAUCUCAUAGGAGCAUAAUGCUGUUUUAAUCAGGACUUCAGCUCUCCUUUGAAAACAUUUGUUUUAUAAAAAGUAAUAAUUAUUUAUGAGUCACUCUCUACCAGGAAGUCGGAGCCCUUCCUUUACAAGAGCGUGCCAGUCAACCAACUUCCUAAGUGGGAGGCUGUUGGGGGUGUUUAUGGUUAUCUUUAGAUCAUGUGGUUUGCAACAGAGGAUCUUGCAGUAUUCCUUUUGCCUCAUCCAAGUAAAACAUAUAUGUAUAUUACAUGCACAUAUUGUUUGUACAUGUAUAUAUAUUNCAGGGCCACACCUGCGGCAUAUGAAAGUUCCCAGGCUCAGGGUCAAAUCAGAGGUGCAUCUGUAGGCAAGUUGUAGGCAAGUUGUGGCAAAGCUGGAUCCUUAACCCACUGAGCAAGGCCAGGGAUCAAACCCUCAUCCUCAUGGAUACUAAUCAGGUUCUUAACCCACUGAGCCACAAUGGGAACUCUCUAUAUAAUUUUUUUUUUAAAUUCUAAGUGCCUGUUGAAGAAAGUUGGAAAUACAGAAAACUGUCUUAAAAUUUACACAUAAAAUCAUUUAUUUUCACACUUCUCAUAAAUAUCAUAUCUCUGAUAUGGCAUAUAUUUCCAGAGGGCUUAUUUGCACCCUGGGGUCCAUUGAGACCAUCUUUGAUGAUUGCCAGUUGAGCAGGAACUCAAAUGUGCUCCCUCAUCGCUGGUUCAGAUGCUGCUGGCUCUGGAAGAUGGUUGUUCUGUAUUUCAGCUUUCAGAACUGAAAGAACUGUAAGAAUUUAUAAGCUCAUAUUCCGCCCCCCUUUACUUGACAUAGUGGUAUCAUUUUUAAGACCUUCUUAUAAUAUUAGGACAUUAACUUUUUUUUUUUUUUUUGUCAGUGCAUGGUUAUUGUAAAAAGCAGAGGAACCUGUAUUAGGUUGUAUUCUUGCUUUUAAACUUUCUAUAACCAUACCCCUUUUGAACCUGUAGCCAGGUCUGAUAGCUGCCACCAUCCUGCCCUUGGUAAGCCAUUGCCAAAGAUUCUUGCAAUGUAAUAGAUUUUCUACAUAUAAGCUUCCCUUAUAUUCCUGGAACCAAGACUAUUUGGAAAAUUCUUUGGUAUAUGUAAAAUUUGGUUUGUAGAUCUUUUAUUUAGAAUUAUUGCUCCUAUAUUUAUAUUAAGAAUUUAUGUAUAAUUUUUGGAAAAUGAGCAGACAUCACAUUUCAGUACCAGGAUUGUGUUGAGUACCUAAAAUAAAUUAGGUAAUUAUCCUUUAUUUUUUAGUAUUUAUUUAACUUAAAAGUAUUAAUUUAUUCUAAACUGAACAACUUUGGAACAGUAUACAUAGAAAGGAAAUGAUCAAUUCCUUGAGAAUUUGAAAGAACUUAAUCACUAAAAUGUCCAGAUAUUCCCUUAAUAACCUUUUAAUUGUAUUUAAUUAUUUUGUAGGAUUUUUACUCAUUAAUAAAGAAAAUACGUAUUUUACUGAUUUUUUUAAAUAUUGACAAAUAUUUUUAAUAUUUUAUUGUCUAUUAUUUUCCCUUAUUGGUCUGUGAUUUAGGAACUCUUGGAAUUCCCAUUGUUGCUCAGUGGUAAUGAACCUGGCUAGUACCCACAAGGAUGCAGCUUUGAUCCCUGGUCUCACUCAGUGAGCUGGAGAUCCAGCAUUGCUGUGAGCUGUGGUGUAGGUCACAGACAUGGCUCGGAUCCUGCAUUACUGUGGCUGUGGCAUAGGCUGGUAGUUGUAGCUCCUGAUUCAACCCCUAGCCUGGGAACUUCCAUAUGCU